AUUGAACGCUGGCGGCAUGCCUUACACAUGCAAGUCGAACGGCAGCGCGGGGGCGAACCCUGGCGGCGAGUGGCGAACGGGCGAGUAAUAUAUCGGAACGUACCCAAGAGUGGGGGAUAACGUAGCGAAAGUUACGCUAAUACCGCAUACGAUCUAAGGAUGAAAGCAGGGGACCGCAAGGCCUUGUGCUCCUGGAGCGGCCGAUAUCUGAUUAGCUAGUUGGUGGGGGUAAAGGCCCUACCAAGGCAUCGAUCAGUAGCUGGUCUGAGAGGACGACCAGCCACACUGGGACUGAGACACGGCCCAGACUCCUACGGGAGGCAGCAGUGGGGAAUUUUGGACAAUGGGGGCAACCCUGAUCCAGCAAUGCCGCGUGAGUGAAGAAGGCCUUCGGGUU
rnacentral:rRNA from 1 species